rnacentral:rRNA from 1 species
CUACGGGCCGCUGCAGUGGGGAAUAUUGCACAAUGGAGGAAACUCUGAUGCAGCAACGCCGCGUGGAGGAUGACACUUUUCGGAGCGUCAACUCCUUUUAUAUAGGAAGAAGAUGACGGUACUAUAUGAAUAAGCGCCGGCUAACUCCGUGCCAGCAGCCGCGGUAAUACGGAGGACGCAAGCGUUACUCGGAAUCACUGGGCGUAAAGAGCGUGUAGGCGGAUUAAAAAGUCAGAAGUGAAAUCCUAUAGCUUAACUAUAGAACUGCUUCUGAAACUCUUAAUCUAGAAUAUGGGAGAGGUAGAUGGAAUUUUUGGUGUAGGGGUAAAAUCCGUAGAGAUCAGAAGGAAUACCGAUUGCGAAGGCGAUCUACUAGAACAUUAUUGACGCUGAGACGCGAAAGCGUGGGGAGCAAACAGGAUUAGAUACCCCCGUAGUC